UACGAAGGUGGCAAGCGUAGUCGGGAUUUACUGGGCGUAAAGGAUGCGUAGGCGGACAUUUAAGUCAGAUGUGAAAUACCCGAGCUCAACUUGGGUGCUGCAUUUGAAACUGGAUGUCUAGAGUGCAGGAGAGGUAAGUGGAAUUCCUAGUGUAGCGGUGAAAUGCGUAGAGAUUAGGAAGAACACCAGUGGCGAAGGCGACUUACUGGACUGUAACUGACGCUGAGGCACGAAAGCGUGGGGAGCAAACAGG
rnacentral:rRNA from 1 species